rnacentral:rRNA from 1 species
CGUAGCCAUUUAUUGAGGAGAAAAGAAACUAAUAGGAUUCCCAUUUAAACUGCGAGUGAAGAGGGAAAAGCUCAAAUUUAAAAUCUGGCAGUCUUUGAUUACCCGAGUUGUAAUUUAGAGAAGUGUUACCCGCGCUGGACCGUGUAUAAGUCUCCCGGAAUGGAGCGUCAUAGAGGGUGAGAAUCCCGUCUUUGACACGGACUACCAGGGCAUUGUGGUGCGCUCUCGAAGAGUCGAGUUGUUUGGGAAUGCAGCUCUAAAUGGGUGGUAAAUUCCCUCUAAAGCUAAAUAUUGGCGAGAGACCGAUUGCGAACAAGUACCGUGAGGGUAGAUAAAAAGAACUUUGGAAAGAGAGUUAAACAGUACGUGAAAUUGCUGAAAGGGAAAAGCUUGAAGUCAGUCGCGUUGGCCAGGGAUCAGCCUUGCUUCUGUGAGGUGUACUUUUGGUUGACGGGUCAGCAUCAGUUUCGACCACUGGAAAAAAGUUUGGGGUUGUGGCCCCUCCGGGUGUGUUAUAGCCCCUUGUUGUAUACAGCGGUUGGAACUGAUGAACUCAGCACUCCGCAAGGCCGGGAUUCGUCCCCGUUCGUGCUUAGGAUGCUAGCUUAACGGUUUUUAGCGACCCCUCUUGAAAUGACUUUGAUUUUGCAGUAG